GUGCUUGCUUUGGCAGCACAUAUACUAAAAUUGGAAUGCUAUAAAUAUUAGCAUGGCCCUGUGCAAGGAUGACACACAAAUUCAUGAAGCAUUCCAUAUUUUA